rnacentral:rRNA from 1 species
GGAGUUAGGAAAUGUAAGUGCGCUAAUAUCGUGCUUAUUUGACAAAGGCUCCAAAGGAAGCCACGGCUAACUCUGUGCCAGCAGCCGCGGUAAUACAGAGGUGGCGAGCGUUGUUCGGAAUUAUUGGGCGUAAAGAGCACGUAGGUGGGUUUGUAAGUCAGAUGUGAAAGCCUUCUGUUCAACGGAAGAAUUGCAUCUGAAACUACUGAUCUUGAGUAUAGGAGGGGAGAGUGGAACUUCUG